UUACAGCCUUGGAAAAGAACACAUCAUUGCAGAGAAAGUCAAAGUGAGCACUGAAGAGCUGACAGUGAAGAGCUGACAGGAACCUGGCUGGAAAAAAAGCAGAGGAAAAAGGAUCUGCUGCUCUGAUAGGAGAUGAAGCUAUUCCUGUGACCUGUUCUGUAGCACGGCCUGGGCAGAAAGCCCACUGCGACAGCAAGCUCUUGGAGCAGCCCAUCUGCAACUGCUGCCGGCAGCCUUGGUCAUGGCUCCCGUCUUCCGUUGCCUCUUCUCCAAAAGGGAAGCCAGGCAGCUGUUUAGGAAGCUUUGGAAAAGAUCUUGUCAAGAAUUUGAAAAAAAAGGAGACAGUGUGAGAGUGUGUGUCUCCAGGUUUUGGCCUCUCUCCAGCUGGCUGACGUACUCAUGAAGCUCCAGAGAUGUUUUACUGCGUACCUGUAAAUAAAGGAGUCUCAAACUGUGGAAAAGGACAGAAGAACUUAUGAGAAAUCAGCAAAGAAUGACAGACAUCUGUCUUGUUUCAGAAGAAAUCAGCAAAGAGAGACAAUCUAAAUCCUGACUCUGGUCCAUCUACAGAGAAGGGUCGGGUUAAGGAAGCAGGGUUUGCCACAGCCCGCAACCCAGUUGUAUUUUAUGCCCUGCUGGUUUUAUUGGUUGUGAAAUGUCCAUGCAAAGUAAAAGAACCCUCCUAAACA